rnacentral:rRNA from 1 species
GCAAACUCGGUGGCAGCUGGGGUGGUAUGACGUGGGGGGCAAGCGUUGGCCGGAGAGAUUGGGCGUAAGGCGCGCGCUGGUGGUUUCUUAAGUCUGAUGUGAAAGACCACGGCUCAACCGUGGAGGGUCAUUGGAAACUGGGAGACUUGAGUGCAGAAGAGGAUAGUGGAAUUCCAAGUGUAGCGGUGAAAUGCGUAGAGAUUUGGAGGAACACCAGUGGCGAAGGCGACUAUCUGGUCUGUAACUGACACUGAGGCGCGAAAGCGUGGGGAGCAAACAGGAUUAGAUACCCCAGUAGUC